rnacentral:lncRNA from 1 species
AGUAUUUUUACUGAUAGAGAUUUUAGCUCCUCCCAAUUCUUGCUUAAAUUAUCCAACUCUUGGGUUAUAAAUUUGCUUUUUAGUGACAGCAUAGCUGCAGCCUGCAGGGUCUCUGAAGAAUGGGUCUUCAUCAGAGGGCAUGUCUCCUGGCAAGGGGGCAUUUGCUGCCUGCUGCCCAGCUCUGAGCAACAGCCCGGAGCCCCUGCUGGCUGCUCUCCGCACCCUGAAGCCGGCUCUGAGUUCGACCAAUGCUCAGCCUUCGCUGGUGCGGCCAGGGCUCUCAUCUGUUGCUUCCAUUUCAGACGCGGAGAGAUUAAGCAAUUAUGGAUUAUUUCAACAUCAGAUGGCCCAAGACAAUUAGUCAGAGGAGAAGCAAAGAAGUGGCCCUGCUGGCUUUUGGUGAAGGGGAAUUUUCAGGCGGAGGUAAAGGUGGAAGCAAGGAUGGGUUCGUUCACUGGGAUGGACAGGUCGGGGACAGGACCUGGUUGAUCUGCGGGGUUGGGAGGGAGUAUACAUAUUUAUACAGUGGGAACAGUUAGGAUUUUUUUAAAUGGAACUGUAGCAUAAGAACCCUCACUAUCUUUGAAUUAAACUAGCACUUUCUAGUAGCAUUCUUUUAAGGGAGAUUAGAUUGCUGAUGCUUCUUGGAGAAAAAAAAGUUGCAAGAAGGAGAGAGAGAGAGAGACUGAGUAGUGCAUGUAAUAAAAGACAAUAGAUUAGAUAGUCUCAGAAUGGAUCUGGGGCCCUAAAUCACUCCCAGGCCUGGCUGCCAGGGCACAGACUUCCCGAGCGGGGCCUUCAUGUUUUAUGGUGGCGGCGGCCCUCCAGGGAGUGAGUUACAACCUUGCCGUCAGUGGGCAGCUAUCUGUUAUCCUACAAGUAAACAGGUAUUCAAAUCCUGACUCCGGAACCUUCGCCUUGGUGUUUAAUCAUCCUGGUAAUCUAACCCCCGUCCCCCGCCAAGGUCGCUGUUUUGGAUUGCGUGACUUUCAGACUCUUCUCUGGCACUGAAGGCAGGCGCAGCCGGGCUGACAGCCGCCCAACUCAUCAACUGGGCUGACAGGCCCAAAAAUUAACUUUGAUAUUUUGUGUGGAAUAAUUCAGUGGCAAUUGGGCCAGAUGAUGUUCUGUAACCUAAAUUCAAUUUCCAUCACAGGGAAGCAUCAGAGAGCUAGUCACCCACUUGCCAAGAGCACCUAGCAAUCUAAGG